rnacentral:lncRNA from 1 species
GAACUGACUUUCGGAUUGAGGCUCAGAGCAUCUGCUUAGAGAGCAAGCUCAUUACUGCAGGAUAUCCCUCUGAUUUUCAGUGCAAGAGGGAAUGUGCCUGAGAGAGUGAGAGCCUGCUGGCACACGUGGACUGGCACAGGAGAUUAAACAAUGGGUCCCUGGUAUAUGGACGGCCCUUAGGAACCACGUAGGGAGUGACAGAGAUCAGAAGAUAUGGGCACCACCUUUUACAGAAGGAAAACACAACAGGCAACUGUAUGUUUCAGAUUAAUACAGAAGCACAUGCAAUUUGUCCAUCAGCAACUGAGGAGAAACAGACAUAUGUCCUGAGGAAUUGGGGAAUGAUAAGAGCUCAAGCCAGGGGUUCAAAAGGAAUGACUGCUUCACAGGGGUCUGAGCGCUAGUGCUGCUGGAGCCAAAUGAGAGCAGUGAGAAUGCUCUCGGUUUCUGUCAAGAGGAUCAACCACUUGGUAAGAAGAUGGGUUUUAUAUCAGCCUCUCAUGAAGGGAGACAUCUACUAUGGAACGGGAGAUUUCCAGUUUGGGCCACUUAAAAACUCAACAAAGAGUGAGGCAUAUUAAUAAGAAAUAAUGAGGCAUUUUGAGUUCUCUGGAACUGUGAGUUUUUGAGGAAUGAGUUAUCUGUCUUUUGAUGGUGGUGGUGUGGGCAGUGGGGUAUGUUCCAUCCAGGUUUUAUGUAGGACCUGUUUGGGGGAAUAAGGAUUUAGAUCUUUAUUUUGAGGGAAAUAGCAUAUGUAUAUCCCAGGAAGGUUAAAGAAGGCAGCUUUUUUUUUUUUUUUUUUUUUGGCUGUUGUGAUAUUAAUUAUUGUGAUGAUAAGUUUCUAUAGUGGGGGGUGUGUCUCCUUUUCCAUCUUUUGAAAAGCCUUCAACUGUGCUGAGAGAAAGAUGUACAGGGUCACCUGUGGUGGCCAUUUAGGUGACGUCUUUCCUCAAAAAAUUCCUCCUCUGCCAUAGUGUGCCUAGGACCCACCAUUAAUGCCUUAGUCAAUCUUUUGGAUUGAGGCCUUGAAACCUAUGUUGAAUUACAUGUGUUACCUGAAAGACUACAUUAAUUAGGAUGUAUCCAGCUAUAAGAAUUAAAACCUAUCUAACUAUGACCUUAAGC